GACAGAGGGUGCAAACGUUUGUUCGGAAUUACUGGGCGUAAAGCGCGUGUAGGCGGCUAAGUAAGUCGGGCGUGAAAUCCCACGGCUCAACCGUGGAAGUGCACUCGAAACUGCAUAGCUAGAGUCCUGGAGAGGAAGGUGGAAUGCUUGGUGUAGAGGUGAAAUUCGUAGAUAUCAAGCGGAACACCGGUGGCGAAGGCGGCGUUCUGGACUGUUACUGACACUGAGGAACGAAAGCCAGGGGAGCAAACGGG
rnacentral:rRNA from 1 species